GAAAAGAAUUUCCCUGGAACCUAACCCCUCCUAUUACAUUAAUUCUUAUAGGAAAAUUGGAUUCGCUUAACAUCAUUUCGCUUAAGAAGUCGCAUUUUUCAGGAACAUAACUACAACGUUAAGCGAGGAAUUACUGUAGUCUUCUCUGAGGAGAUCAUGUGUUCCACUCUCUUGGAUAAAGGGCAGUGUCUCUCAACACAGAAGGAAGACAGAAUACAGGACUGAGAAAAUUUCCACGUGACUCUCCAGUCCUUCAACCUCAGCAAAAAUAUGAAAGGUAAGGAAGAUAUUUUGUUACUUCUAAUUGUUCCUUGUGAACACAAUCCUUUUUCUAGG
rnacentral:lncRNA from 1 species